AUGAAGGAAAAAAAGUUUAAUUCAAGGAAUUUUUGCUGUCUUCUCAUCUUGUCCGUUAAAACUGAACUGAGUAAAUCUUUCCAUUACAGGAUGCAUGGGUCUUAUAUCGUUGCAUUACUUGAGCAGAUACUUGGAAAGGAUAAAGCUGACGAAGUUGCAGGUCCACUGGUAUGGUACAUCACGAGUCAGGUGUUCCUAAAUCCAAUGUUGCAUGCAUUGAUGUUGGAUGUGAUAUUACCACCAAACACACCUUUACGUUAA